rnacentral:snRNA from 14 species
AUGCAUAGCUGGUAUGGGAGAUAGUAUCAUCAAGAAGGUGGCUUUCUGAGGCUCAUCCAUCGCUUUCUGACAUGCUGGCUUCUAGAAUUUUUCCUUCAAAUGUGAGAAACUCAAUGCAUAAUUUAAGUUGGGAAUUCGUUCAAG